rnacentral:rRNA from 1 species
UACGUAGGGUGCAAGCGUUGUCCGGAAUUAUUGGGCGUAAAGAGCUCGUAGGCGGUUUGUUGCGUCGGCUGUGAAAUCCCGAGGCUCAACCUCGGGUCUGCAGUCGAUACGAGCAGGCUAGAGUUCGGUAGGGGAGACUGGAAUUCCUGGUGUAGCGGUGAAAUGCGCAGAUAUCAGGAGGAACACCGGUGGCGAAGGCGGGUCUCUGGGCCGAUACUGACGCUGAGGCGCGAAAGCGUGGGGAGCAAACAGG